GUUCUGGCUUGGGUGGCAUUGGAGAUUGGUCGUUCUUCGUCGGGCCUGGAGGUGCGGAAUGCCCGAACACCCCGAGCCUAGUGGGGUUAUCUCAUUGUGAGAGACAGUGUUUCCUGACCAGCUGGAGGU
rfam:Ochotona princeps cont2.609776, whole genome shotgun sequence.